rnacentral:rRNA from 1 species
GACGAACCGUGCGAACGUUAUUCGGAAUCACUGGGCUUAAAGCGCGUGUAGGCGGGAGGGCACGUCCGUCGCUGAAAUCCCACGGCUCAACCGUGGAACGGGCGCGGAUACGACUCUUCUGGAGGAACGUAGGGGGACCUGGAACUUCCGGUGGAGCGGUGAAAUGCGUUGAGAUCGGAAGGAACGCCCGUGGCGAAAGCGAGGUCCUGGACGUUUACUGACGCUGAGACGGCGAAAGCCAGGGGAGCGAACGGG